rnacentral:rRNA from 1 species
AGUGAACGCUGGCGGUAGGCCUAACACAUGCAAGUCGAACGGCAGCACAGUAAGAGCUUGCUCUUACGGGUGGCGAGUGGCGGACGGGUGAGGAAUACAUCGGAAUCUACUUUUUCGUGGGGGAUAACGUAGGGAAACUUACGCUAAUACCGCAUACGACCUACGGGUGAAAUCAGGGGAUCUUCGGACCUUGCGCGAUUGAAUGAGCCGAUUUCGGAUUAGCUAGUUGGCGGGGUAAAGGCCCACCAAGGCGACGAUCCGUAGCUGGUCUGAGAGGAUGAUCAGCCACACUGGAACUGAGACACGGUCCAGACUCCUACGGGAGGCAGCAGUAGGGAAUAUUGGACAAUGGGCGCAAGCCUGAUCCAGCCAUACCGCGUGAGUGAAGAAGGCCUUCGGGUUGUAAAGCCCUUUUGUUGGGAAAGAAAAGCAGCAGGUUAAUACCCCGCUGUUCUGACGGUACCCAAAGAAUAAGCACCGGCUAACUUCGUG